rnacentral:rRNA from 1 species
GACGAACGCUGGCGGCGUGCUUAACACAUGCAAGUCGAACGGAAAGGCCCUGCUUUUGUGGGGUGCUCGAGUGGCGAACGGGUGAGUAACACGUGAGUAACCUGCCCUUGACUUUGGGAUAACUUCAGGAAACUGGGGCUAAUACCGGAUAGGAUCUCCUGCUGCAUGGUGGGGGUUGGAUAGUUUCGGCGGUUGGGGAUGGACUCGCGGCUUAUCAGCUUGUUGGUGGGGUAGUGGCUUACCAAGGCUUUGACGGGUAGCCGGCCUGAGAGGGUGACCGGCCACAUUGGGACUGAGAUACGGCACAGACUCCUACGGGAGGCAGCAGUGGGGAAUAUUGCACAAUGGGCGGAAGCCUGAUGCAGCAACGCAGCGUGCGGGAUGACGGCCUUCGGGUUGUAAACCGCUUUCGCCUGUGACGAAGCGUGAGUGACGGUAAUGGGUAAAGAAGCACCGGCUAACUACGUG